rnacentral:rRNA from 1 species
AGCCAGCAGCCGCGGUAAUACGGAGGGUGCAAGCGUUACUCGGAAUCACUGGGCGUAAAGAGCGCGUAGGCGGGAUAGUAAGUCAGAUGUGAAAUCCUAUGGCUUAACCAUAGAACUGCAUUUGAAACUGCUAUCCUAGAGUGUGGGAGAGGUAGGUGGAAUUCUUGGUGUAGGGGUAAAAUCCGUAGAGAUCAAGAGGAAUACUCAUUGCGAAGGCGACCUGCUGGAACAUCACUGACGCUGAUUGCGCGAAAGCGUGGGGAGCAAACAGGAUUAGAUACCCUGGUAGUCCACGCCCUAAACGAUGAAUGCUAGUUGUUGGGGAGCUUAGUCUCUCCAGUAAUGCAGCUAACGCAUUAAGCAUUCCGCCUGGGGAGUACGGUCGCAAGAUUAAAACUCAAAGGAAUAGACGGGGACCCGCACAAGCGGUGGAGCAUGUGGUUUAAUUCGAAGAUACACGAAGAACCUUACCUAGGCUUGACAUUGAGAGAAUCCGCUAGAAAUAGUGGAGUGUCUAGCUUGCUAGACCUUGAAAACAGGUGCUGCACGGCUGUCGUCAGCUCGUGUCGUGAGAUGUUGGGUUAAGUCCCGCAACGAGCGCAACCCCCUUUCUUAGUUGCUAACAGGUUAUGCUGAGAACUCUAAGAAUACUGCCUGCGUAAGCAGGAGGAAGGUGGGGACGACGUCAAGUCAUCAUGGCCCUUACGCCUAGGGCUACACACGUGCUACAAUGGGGUGUACAAAGAGAAGCAAUACUGCGAAGUGGAGCAAAUCUCAAAAACAUCUCUCAGUUCGGAUUGUAGUCUGCAACUCGACUACAUGAAAGCUGGAAU